rnacentral:miRNA from 1 species
ACAGCAAACAGGGGCUCAGAGCCGAGGGUGCGCGCCUUCCCCUGGGAGACCUUCCUGUCCUUAGAGGAAAGCGGGAAUCCCACAGGGGUGCGGGUGCUGGAGUCCCCCACCUGGGAGCCUGUGUGGA